UACGAAGGGUGCAAACGUUGCUCGGAAUUAUUGGGCGUAAAGCGCACGUAGGCGGCUUUUCAAGUCGAAUGUGAAAUCCCUCGGCUUAACCAAGGAAGUGCAUCCGAAACUGGAAGGCUUGAGUACUUAAGAGGAUCGCGGAAUUCCCGGUGUAGAGGUGAAAUUCGUAGAUAUCGGGAGGAACACCAGUGGCGAAGGCGGCGAUCUGGGAAGAUACUGACGCUGAGGUGCGAAAGCGUGGGGAGCAAACAGG
rnacentral:rRNA from 1 species